ACGAACGCUGGCGGCAUGCCUAACACAUGCAAGUCGAACGCCCCGCAAGGGGAGUGGCGCACGGGUGAGUAACGCGUGGGGAUCUGCCCAUCGGUGGGGAAUAACCUCGGGAAACUGAGGCUAAUACCGCAUACGCCCUGUAAAGGGGAAAGAUUUAUCGCCGAUGGAUGAACCCGCGUCCGAUUAGCUUGUUGGUGAGGUAAUGGCUCACCAAGGCUUCGAUCGGUAGCUGGUCUGAGAGGAUGACCAGCCACACUGGGACUGAGACACGGCCCAGACUCCUACGGGAGGCAGCAGUGGGGAAUAUUGGACAAUGGGGGCAACCCUGAUCCAGCCAUGCCGCGUGAGUGAUGAAGGCCUUAGGGUUGUAAAGCUCUUUUACCAGGGAAGAUAAUGACUGUACCUGGAGAAUAAGCCCCGGCUAACUUCGU
rnacentral:rRNA from 1 species